CAAGGCUUGACAUAUACCGGAAAGCGCCAGAGAUGGUGCCCCCCUUGUGGUCGGUAUACAGGUGGUGCAUGGCUGUCGUCAGCUCGUGUCGUGAGAUGUUGGGUUAAGUCCCGCAACGAGCGCAACCCUUGUCCUGUGUUGCCAGCAUGCCCUUCGGGGUGAUGGGGACUCACAGGAGACCGCCGGGGUCAACUCGGAGGAAGGUGGGGACGACGUCAAGUCAUCAUGCCCCUUAUGUCUUGGGCUGCACACGUGCUACAAUGGCCGGUACAAAGAGCUGCGAUGCCGCGAGGCGGAGCGAAUCUCAAAAAGCCGGUCUCAGUUCGGAUUGGGGUCUGCAACUCGACCCCAUGAAGUCGGAGUUGCUAGUAAUCGCAGAUCAGCAUUGCUGCGGUGAAUA
rnacentral:rRNA from 1 species